UACGUAGGGUGCAAGCGUUGUCCGGAAUCACUGGGCGUAAAGGGCGCGUAGGCGGCCUGAUAAGUAGGGGGUGAAAUCCUGAGGCUUAACCUCAGGGCUGCCUUCUAAACUGUCGGGCUCGAGCACAGUAGAGGCAGGUGGAAUUCCCGGUGUAGCGGUGGAAUGCGUAGAGAUCGGGAAGAACAUCAGUGGCGAAGGCGGCCUGCUGGGCUGUUGCUGACGCUGAGGCGCGACAGCGUGGGGAGCAAACAGG
rnacentral:rRNA from 1 species